rnacentral:lncRNA from 1 species
CCCUGAUUGCCUAGCAAAGACCCUGCCCAUAGCCCCCAGACUGUCUGCUAUGGAUUCUUAAAAAACAUGUUUCUCAUUGUUUAGCACGUUCUGAAGUAUAUUCAAAGCAUCCGAGUCUCCAGUGUAAAAUACAAUCAGGAAUAUCCAGCUAUCAAGCCUACACAGUAAACAUUCUAAAGAGGUCCCAUGAGCCAAAACUAUUUUUGUUAGAAAUAAUCUCCACAAUUCUAAUGACUCAUCCCUUUUAGUGUUUUAAGUACGUGGGGGAAGAAAAAAAAUCAUGAUGUCUCCAGUUGGAAAAUUGCAUUGGGAACACUGAGUUGUUACUGAAGAAAGGCAGUUGAGUUGGAGAGUUUAAUUUAAAAGGAAAAACAAAACAAAACAAAAACACAAAACAAAACAACAACAACAAAAACCCAUCGUUCUUUAUCAGAACACUCUAAACGUUCAUUUGCCUUCAGUAUUGUUGUGCCUGGGGUGAAGUCCUUGAAGAUUCUGGUGCUGAGAGUGUCAAUGAAAUACCCUUUGGCAUUAAGCGCUCUGCCUGGAAUCCUGAUUGUGCCACCUGAAAGGAAAGGAACAGGAGUUCCUUAACGGCGUAAUAGACCAGAAGAACCGAAGGGGAGAACCCGCUUGUUCUGUGAAGAAGAUCGCUCCUAGUUAAACAAAGAAAUUUGGGGUCGCCUGCUUUUCAUGGAAAUCUCCUACAUAUGGCCUUUGAAAUUUGUCACUGAAGAUGGGUUCCGCUCUAAGGAGUUUCCUUGCAAACAUUUUACUUAAAGAGUAUAAUUCAAGAGGGAAAACAGUAUACUACGCCUUUUCUUACCGGAAGCAUGCCAACUGCUGUACACUCCUGAGCUCCCACAUGGCAAGAAGAAGCUGGUGAAGACAAUAGGGAUGAGAGAUCGCUGUCAGAUGAGAACUCCAUUCUUAGUCACUCAUUCUGCCACUUACCGAAGACCUGGAACUACAGAUGGCCCCCAACUCAGCACUUGCUUUUCAGAGAGAGGAGGCAGUCAGACCACGUACUGAUAGAAUGGCUACACUACUGAGUUAGUUCCUAAAGAUGACUGGAGCCAUCCAUCUGUCUCAUACCCCUGCCACCAUGGGAAACUCUGAAUCAACUUGGUUUGCUGUAAAAAUCCUUUUUGAUUAAUCUGAUUUGUUUUAAAUGUUUGAGGCUUA